rnacentral:rRNA from 1 species
UAGGUGGCUUGAUGAGUCAGAUGUGAAUUCCCCNGGCNUAACCUUGGAACUGCAUNUGAUACUGUNGGCUAGAGUANGUGAGAGGAGGUAGAAUUUCAGGUGUAGCGGUGAAAUGCGUAGAGAUNUGAAGGAAUACCGAUGGCGAAGGCAGCCUCCUGGCAUCAUACUGACACUGAGGUUCGAAAGCGUGGGUAGCAAACAGGAUUAGAUACCCUGGUAGUCCACGCCGUAAACGAUGUCUACUAGUCGUUGGGGAACUUGAUUCCUUAGUGACGCAGCUAACGCAAUAAGUAGACCGCCUGGGGAGUACGGCCGCAAGGUUAAAACUCAAAUGAAUUGACGGGGGCCCGCACAAGCGGU